rnacentral:lncRNA from 1 species
AUAAAUUGACUUCCUGUGCCUGACCUGCAGGUGGCGGCCAUUCUGUUUCCUGGCCAUGGCUUCACUAAUUUAGGCCUGCUGGGCUCACGGGAAGCCCUUCAAAAAAACGACUCCUUUCAGAUUAACAUGUAAAAUUUAAUUACGGAGGUCCAGGCUGAGAUGAUGUCUAAAGCCAUUUACUAAGCCCGGCGGCCUCCCCGUCCUGGGGCUAAGGAGGCCGAAGCAGAGCUUUGAUCAUUAACCGCUGAGAAAAUCUCAGCUUGCAUAUUAAGAGAAGUGGCAGCGCUUUUAACCCCUUUGGGAUGAGGACAGCGGAGAUGGAGACAGCCAAACGGAUGUAGAACCUCCUAUGAACUUCAAGAGAACAUUUCCGGGAGGAGCAGGUUGUGGCUUCCUAGGAGACCUUGGGCCUGGCUUUGCCUAUAAUCACAUUUCCCCUCCCGGGAAGGAGGGCUGGGGGGGGGGGGCGGCAGGGAGGAGGGGCUUAAACUCUACGGGCACAAACUUCUGGGACUUCUACCACCUUUGAAGCCUGUUGUAAGGCUGUCUUUCCACACAGGGCCCAGCUCUGGUUUUAAUGAUCAGAAGGCCUGAAAGGGCUGUCUUCUCACCCGGAUGGGCCCUUGGCAGACUCCUGGCCUGCCUUCCACAGCUCUCU